rnacentral:rRNA from 1 species
GUGCACCAGUCGCGAAAACUUGUCAAUGCACGAAAGUGUGAACGGGCUACCCCGAGUGCCGUCCGCUGAGGAUGGCUUUUCUCUGCUGUAAGAAGGCAGAGGAAUAAGGAGAGGGCAAGUCUGGUGUCAGCCGCCGCGGUAAUACCAGCUCUCCGAGUGGUAGGGAUGAUUAUUGGGCUUAAAGCGUCCGUAGCUGGCCUUUCAAGUCUCUUGUUAAAUCCAGCGAUUCAAUCGUUGGACUGCGGGAGAUACUGUUAGGCUAGGGGGCGGGAGAAGCCGACGGUAUUUCCGGGGUAGGGGUAAAAUCCUAUAAUUCCGGGAAGACCACCAGUGGCGUAGGCGGUCGGCUAGCACGCGCUCGACGGUGAGGGACGAAAGCCAGGGGCGCAAACGGGAUUAGAUACCCCUGUAGUCC